UUAUAGUAUUCACUGGCCUAUGCCUGCCUGAAGCUUGUGAAUUACUCCUUCUUCUUCUGGUUGCCAUUUUAUCUGAGUAACAACUUUGGAUGGAAGGAGGCUGAAGCUGACCAGUUGUCCAUCUGGUACGAUGUCGGAGGGAUCAUAGGUGGAACUCUGCAAGGCUUCAUCUCCGACAUACUACAGAGAAGAGCACCCGUGUUGGCCCUCAGCCUGCUCCUGGCGAUCGGGUCCCUUGUUGGGUAUAGCCGUUCUCCGAAUGAUAAGUCCAUCAAUGCACUUCUGAUGACUGUUACAGGGUUUUUCAUUGGUGGACCUUCUAAUAUGAUCAGCUCAGCCAUUUCUGCAGACCUGGGUCGCCAGGAGGUGAUCCAAGGGAGCAGUGAGGCUUUGGCAACUGUCACAGGAAUUGUUGAUGGAACUGGGAGCAUUGGAGCUGCCGUG